rnacentral:rRNA from 1 species
UACGGAGGGUGCAAGCGUUAAUCGGAAUUACUGGGCGUAAAGCGCGCGUAGGCGGCUAAGUCAGUCGGAUGUGAAAUCCCUGGGCUCAACCUGGGAACUGCAUACGAUACUGCUUGGCUAGAGUGUGGGAGAGGGUGGUGGAAUUCCCGGUGUAGCAGUGAAAUGCGUAGAGAUCGGGAGGAACAUCUGUGGCGAAGGCGACUACCUGGACCAGCACUGACACUGAGGCACGGAAAGCGUGGGGAGCAAACAGG